UACGUAGGGGGGCAAGCGUUGUCCGGAAUCAUUGGGCGUAAAGAGCGCGUAGGCGGCCCUGUAAGUCCGCUGUGAAAGUCAAGGGCUCAACCCUUGGAUGCCGGUGGAUACUGCAGGGCUAGAGUCCGGAAGAGGCGAGUGGAAUUCCUGGUGUAGCGGUGAAAUGCGCAGAUAUCAGGAGGAACACCGAUGGCGAAGGCAGCUCGCUGGGACGGUACUGACGCUGAGGCGCGAAGCGUGGGGAGCGAACAGGG
rnacentral:rRNA from 1 species